rnacentral:rRNA from 1 species
GAGUUUGAUCCUGGCUCAGGACGAACGCUGACGGUGUGCUUUAGGCAUGCAAGUCGAACGAGAAAGCCCUUCGGGGUUAGUAAAGUGGCGAACGGGUGAGUAACACGUGGGCAACCUGCCCCUCGCAGGGGGACAACCGGAGGAAACUCCGGCUAAUACCCCGUACGCUUGUUGGAUCGCAUGGUCCGGCAAGGAAAGGUAGCUUCGGCCAUCCGGCGAGGGAUGGGCCCGCGUUGCAUUAGCUAGUUGGUGGGGUAACGGCCCACCAAGGCAACGAUGCGUAGCUGGUCUGAGAGGAUGAUCAGCCACACUGGGACUGAGACACGGCCCAGACUCCUACGGGAGGCAGCAGCCAGGAAUCUUGGGCAAUGGGCGAAAGCCUGACCCAGCAACACCGUGUGGGUGACGAAGGCCUUAGGGUCGUAAAGCCCUGUUGAUAGGGACGAAGGGCAAAGGGUUAAUAGCCCCCAGCUUGACGGUACCUUUCGAGGAAGCCCCGGCUAACUACGUGCCAGCAGCCGCGGUAAUACGUAGGGGGCGAGCGUUGUCCGGAAUUAUUGGGCGUAAAGAGCGUGUAGGCGGUUCGGUAAGUCUGCUGUGAAAUCCUAGGGCUCAACCCUGGGCGUGCAGCGGAUACUGCCGGGCUAGAGGGUGGUAGAGGCGAGUGGAAUUCCGAGUGUAGCGGUGAAAUGCGCAGAUAUUCGGAGGAACACCAGUAGCGAAGUCGGCUCGCUGGGCCACACCUGACGCUGAGACGCGAAAGCGUGGGGAGCGAACAGGAUUAGAUACCCUGGUAGUCCACGCCGUAAACGAUGGAUACUGGGUGUGG